rnacentral:rRNA from 1 species
GAUGAACGCUGGCGGCGUGCCUAAUACAUGCAAGUCGAGCGAACAGAUAAGGAGCUUGCUCCUUUGAAGUUAGCGGCGGACGGGUGAGUAACACGUGGGUAACCUACCUAUAAGACUGGGAUAACUUCGGGAAACCGGAGCUAAUACCGGAUAACAUUUAGAACCGCAUGGUUCUAAAGUGAAAGAUGGUUUUGCUAUCACUUAUAGAUGGACCCGCGCCGUAUUAGCUAGUUGGUAAGGUAACGGCUUACCAAGGCGACGAUACGUAGCCGACCUGAGAGGGUGAUCGGCCACACUGGAACUGAGACACGGUCCAGACUCCUACGGGAGGCAGCAGUAGGGAAUCUUCCGCAAUGGGCGAAAGCCUGACGGAGCAACGCCGCGUGAGUGAUGAAGGGUUUCGGCUCGUAAAACUCUGUUAUUAGGGAAGAACAAAUGUGUAAGUAACUGUGCACAUCUUGACGGUACCUAAUCAGAAAGCCACGGCUAACUACGUGCCAGCAGCCGCGGUAAUACGUAGGUGGCAAGCGUUAUCCGGAAUUAUUGGGCGUAAAGCGCGCGUAGGCGGUUUCUUAAGUCUGAUGUGAAAGCCCACGGCUCAACCGUGGAGGGUCAUUGGAAACUGGGAAACUUGAGUGCAGAAAGAGGAAAGUGGAAUUCCAUGUGUAGCGGUGAAAUGCGCAGAGAUAUGGAGGAACACCGGUGGCGAAGGCGACUUUCUGGUCUGUAACUGACGCUGAUGUGCGAAAGCGUGGGGAUCAAACAGGAUUAGAUACCCUGGUAGUCCACGCCGUAAACGAUGAGUGCUAAGUGUUAGGGGGGUUUCCGCCCCUUAGUGCUGCAGCUAACGCAUUAAGCACUCCGCCUGGGGAGUACGACCGCAAGGUUGAAACUCAAAGGAAUUGACGGGGACCCGCACAAGCGGUGGAGCAUGUGGUUUAAUUCGAAGCAACGCGAAGAACCUUACCAAAUCUUGACAUCCUUUGAAAACUCUAGAGAUAGAGCCUUCCCCUUCGGGGGACAAAGUGACAGGUGGUGCAUGGUUGUCGUCAGCUCGUGUCGUGAGAUGUUGGGUUAAGUCCCGCAACGAGCGCAACCCUUAAGCUUAGUUGCCAUCAUUAAGUUGGGCACUCUAGGUUGACUGCCGGUGACAAACCGGAGGAAGGUGGGGAUGACGUCAAAUCAUCAUGCCCCUUAUGAUUUGGGCUACACACGUGCUACAAUGGACAAUACAAAGGGCAGCUAAACCGCGAGGUCAUGCAAAUCCCAUAAAGUUGUUCUCAGUUCGGAUUGUAGUCUGCAACUCGACUACAUGAAGCUGGAAUCGCUAGUAAUCGUAGAUCAGCAUGCUACGGUGAAUACGUUCCCGGGUCU